rnacentral:sRNA from 1 species
UUUUUUUCUUCUAAUUAACUGAAUUGAGAAGGGGUUUUCAAGAGAUGACAAGUACUACUCUUGUAAACAGAGAAGAAAUACUCAAAGUUAUAUUCUCAUUCUUAACCUUCUCAUUACAUAGCUUUAUCUAUUUAUAUGAAAAGCUAAGGGAUACAAUGGUUGAACUAGAGUUUUAGUAAAUGUUUUGAUGAAUGACAAGUGUCUUCAUCUGCACAUGGCUGGAGAUUCAAGGACUGUGAAGCUAUUCUUCAAUUGGAGUGUAGCGUGAGCUGGAGUCGACAUUUUGACAGUACGAAGCUGAGUACAUGACGACGAUGCUCUGUUACCGUUAAAGUCUGAAGAAGCUUUUACACUCGUCUUGGGCUUUGUUUGCAUAGUUAGGUCUAUUACAAUUGUUUUGGUUGUCUAUUGGACCAAGACUGGAGUUGUCUUCCUUACAUUUUGAAUUCAAAAAUUUUCAGAUUAUUUUGCACGGAUGACAAAGUUUUAAUUUAUUUUGUUGGUCGGAUCGUUUUAUAUUCAUUUAUUUUAUUUUGUGCAUAUUUUCCUUA